rnacentral:rRNA from 1 species
UACGUAGGGUGCAAGCGUUGUCCGGAAUUAUUGGGCGUAAAGAGCUCGUAGGCGGUCUGUCGCGUCGGCUGUGAAAACCCGAGGCUCAACCUCGGGCCUGCAGUCGAUACGGGCAGGCUAGAGUUCGGUAGGGGAGACUGGAAUUCCUGGUGUAGCGGUGAAAUGCGCAGAUAUCAGGAGGAACACCGGUGGCGAAGGCGGGUCUCUGGGCCGAUACUGACGCUGAGGAGCGAAAGCGUGGGGAGCGAACAGG